GUGCCAGCAGUCGCGGUAAUACGUAGAAGACUAGUGUUAUUCAUGUUUAAUCGGUUUAAAGGGUACCUAGACGGUAAAUCAAGCCUAAAAUUAAAUGAAGGGACUAAUUUACUAGAGUUACUUAUGAGGGGGUAUUAAAGUACUGCUGGUGUAGAGAUGAAAUUCUGUCAUACCUCUUUUCAAUAGAAAAAUAAUGGCACAGGUAUAGGCGAAAGCAUCCCCUUAUGUGAUAACUGACGUUGAGGGACGAAGGCUUUGUGUAGCGAACAGGAUUAGAUACCCCAGUAGUCAAAGCAGAAAAUGAUGAAUGUCAUAGAUUAGAUAAAUAAGUUUAUUCUAUAAAUGAAAGUGUAAGCAUUCCACCUCAAGAGUAAUUUGGCAACAUUGGAACUGAAAUCAUUAGACCGUUUCUGAAACCAGUAGUGAAGUAUGUUGUUUAAUUUGAUGAUCCGCAAAAAACCUUACCACAAUUUGAAUAUUUAUAUCUAUUAUUGUUUUUUUUUAAUUUUCUUCUGAUUUGAUUUUUCUAAAGAAAAAAGAAAAAGAGGCGAUAUGAUAUAUUUACAAGCGUUGCACGGCUGUCUUCAGUUAAUGUCGCGAGACUUUGGUUAGUUCCAUUAAAUUAACGUAAACCCUUACUUUAUUUUUAUAUAGAGUAGUUCCCCGCUAUAUGGAUAUG
rnacentral:rRNA from 1 species